ensembl:snRNA U6 U6 spliceosomal RNA
GUGCUCGCUUCGGCAGCACAUAUACUAAAAUUGGAACGAUACAGAGAGGAUUAGCAUGGCCCCUGCACAAGGAUUGACACACAAAUUCAUGAAGCGUUUCAUAUUAAA